rnacentral:tRNA from 1 species
GAGGGUAUAGCUCAAUGGUAGAGUGUGUGCCUAGCAUGCUCAAGGUCCUGGGUUCAAUCCCCAGUACCUCCA